rnacentral:rRNA from 1 species
GUGGGGAAUAUUGGACAAUGGGGGGAACCCUGAUCCAGCCAUGCCGCGUGUGUGAAGAAGGCCUUUUGGUUGUAAAGCACUUUAAGCGAGGAGGAGGCUACCGAGAUUAAUACUCUUGGAUAGUGGACGUUACUCGCAGAAUAAGCACCGGCUAACUCUGUGCCAGCAGCCGCGGUAAUACAGAGGGUGCAAGCGUUAAUCGGAUUUACUGGGCGUAAAGCGCGCGUAGGUGGCCAAUUAAGUCAAAUGUGAAAUCCCCGAGCUUAACUUGGGAAUUGCAUUCGAUACUGGUUGGCUAGAGUAUGGGAGAGGAUGGUAGAAUUCCAGGUGUAGCGGUGAAAUGCGUAGAGAUCUGGCGGAAUACCGAUGGCGAAGGCAGCCAUCUGGCCUAAUACUGACACUGAGGUGCGAAAGCAUGGGGAGCAAACAGGAUUAGAAACCCUGGUAGUCC